CAUUCACGGAGAGUUUGAUCCUGGCUCAGGACGAACGCUGGCGGCGUGCUUAACACAUGCAAGUCGAACGAUGAAGCCCUUCGGGGUGGAUUAGUGGCGAACGGGUGAGUAACACGUGGGCAAU
rnacentral:rRNA from 3 species